rnacentral:tRNA from 2 species
GUUUUGAGAGAUUGAAUGAAAGAGGGGCUUAUAGCUCAGGUGGUUAGAGCGUACCCCUGAUAAGGGUAAGGUCA